rnacentral:rRNA from 1 species
AGGGAAUCUUCCGCAAUGGACGAAAGUCUGACGGAGCAACGCCGCGUGAGCGAAGAAGGUCUUCGGAUCGUAAAGCUCUGUUGUUAGGGAAGAACAAGUACCGUUCGAAUAGGGCGGUACCGUGACGGUACCUAACCAGAAAGCCACGGCUAACUACGUGCCAGCAGCCGCGGUAAUACGUAGGUGGCAAGCGUUGUCCGGAAUUAUUGGGCGUAAAGCGCGCGCAGGCGGCUUCUUAAGUCUGAUGUGAAAGCCCGCAGCUCAACUGCGGAGGGUCAUUGGAAACUGGGAAGCUUGAGUGCAGAAGAGGAGAGUGGAAUUCCACGUGUAGCGGUGAAAUGCGUAGAGAUGUGGAGGAACACCAGUGGCGAAGGCGGCUCUCUGGUCUGUAACUGACGCUGAGGCGCGAAAGCGUGGGGAGCAAAC